AAGAUGGAUACUUUUAGAUAGCUCCCGGAGCAACUGCAGUGCCAACACACUUUCUUCAACCUUCCUUGCAAGUAGCCGGACGAUACAUGUGAUGCUUUCAUUCAAUUCAGCAAUCUUCACCUGAAAGAAGAUCAAUGAAGAUGGGUAUGUAAUCUUCUAUGACUAUCCAUUCCCUAUGUAACUCGCUGUUCUUGCAUAAGUCAUGGAGUUUCUGCAAAGCACAAAGCACUUCUUGAUCAUCGUGUGACUGGAUUUCAGUCUUCAUGGAAGCUAUACUAAUCAUGGUGUUUCGAUUUCUCCACUCCUCCAUGGAUUGUCGCAGAGUUCUGUUUGGCCGCAGAGAUGAUGUGUUCAAUGGAGUCUUUGUUAAUGGGCAGAGAUUAUUUCCAUCAGCAAGCCACUUCUCAAUUGCAGCUCUCUCGAAUGUCUGACCAGACGAUGUCUGCACCGGAUCCACCAUCACAUCUUGAGUUAUUGGACAAUAAAAUGACUGGAGAGGUUCCAGCAGCUGUCUACCAAGCGAAUCACGUUUGAUCAGAGAUUCAUAAGCAAGUCAUUUGUUUCUGAUGCAAUAUCCAGUGAUCCCAACAAAUCGAUCAUAGACCCUCUAAUGUUCUUGGUACUGCUCUCCAAGUCCUCCACAAUCCUCCUGCAACUUAAGAGGAGAUAGAUUUUGUUUCCCUUGCUGCAAUUCGAGAACAACUUCUCUUGAAGCAUCUACUACUUCAGAUAUGGAUCGAGCAAUAUCAUGAAGAUUGUAGGAAGCCAUAUGGGAGGGAGUAUUCUAUUUUGGCGUUAUAGAACUGAGCAAUUGAAGAUCAAUUUUUCAGUCUGGAGAAGUGAACUGCUUCGUCUCCUGGUGUAGUACGUUCUUAACUUGAUUCUUUCUGCAGAAGAAACUGCACCAAAUGUGUGUAGUAUACAUAUAUAUAUAACCUUUGCUGAAACUUAAUCAUUUAUGCUGUGGAAAAAAAAAAAUGGAUGUAUGUA